rnacentral:rRNA from 1 species
UACAGAGGGGGCAAGCGUUAUUCACAUUGAUUAGGCGUAAAGGGUGCGUAGGCGGGCUUCUGACAUUACUGGUGAAAUCUCAAGUAAAACUUGAAACUGCUUUUAAUAAACAGGAGCCUUGUGUCCUGGCGAGGUCGGUAGAAUUGCCAAAGGAGGGGUAGAAUCCUAGGAUAGUGGCAGGAAUUCCAAAGGCGAAGGCGGCCGACUAAUCAGUACAGACGUUGAGGCACGAAGGUCUGGGUAUCGAACAGG